UGGCUCAGGACGAACGCUGGCGGCGUGCUUAACACAUGCAAGUCGAACGGACUGAGUUGAUAGCUUGCUAUUGAUGAGGUUAGUGGCAAACGGGUGAGUAACGCGUAGGCAACCUGCCCUUCAGAUGGGGACAACACCUCGAAAGGGGUGCUAAUACCGAAUGACGUUGCGGAGUCGCAUGACUUUGCAACCAAAGGCCGGGCAACCGGUCACUGAAGGAUGGGCCUGCGUCUGAUUAGCUAGUUGGUGGGGUAACGGCCCACCAAGGCAACGAUCAGUAGGGGUUCUGAGAGGAAGGUCCCCCACAUUGGAACUGAGACACGGUCCAAACUCCUACGGGAGGCAGCAGUGAGGAAUAUUGGUCAAUGGGCGGAAGCCUGAACCAGCCAAGUAGCGUGAGGGAAGACUGCCCUAUGGGUUGUAAACCUCUUUUGUUUGGGAGCAAAGUGCGCCACGUGUGGUGUAUUGCGAGUACCAUUCGAAUAAGCAUCGGCUAAUUCCGUG
rnacentral:rRNA from 1 species